GAUGAACGCUGGCGGCGUGCCUAAUACAUGCAAGUCGAGCGAAUGGAUUAAGAGCUUGCUCUUAUGAAGUUAGCGGCGGACGGGUGAGUAACACGUGGGUAACCUGCCCAUAAGACUGGGAUAACUCCGGGAAACCGGGGCUAAUACCGGAUAACAUUUUGAACCGCAUGGUUCGAAAUUGAAAGGCGGCUUCGGCUGUCACUUAUGGAUGGACCCGCGUCGCAUUAGCUAGUUGGUGAGGUAACGGCUCACCAAGGCAACGAUGCGUAGCCGACCUGGGAAGGUGAUCGGCCACACUGGGACUGAGACACGGACCAGAAUCCUACGGGAGGCAGCAGUAGGGAAUCUUCCGCAAUGGACGAAAGUAUAACGGAGCAACGCCGCGUGAGUGAUGAAUGCUUUCGGGUCGUAAAACUCUGUUGUUAGGGAAGGACAAGUGCUAGUUGAAUAAGCUGGCACCUUGACGGUACCUAACCAGAAAGCCACGGCUAACUACGUGCCAGCCGCCGCGGUAA
rnacentral:rRNA from 1 species